GGCCUCGUAGCUCAGCUGGUAGACCACGCGCGUACAAAGCGAAGACGGCGUCCAUGAGUGGGUUCGAAUCCCACCGCGGCUA
rnacentral:tRNA from 1 species